AUCACUAAGCGGAGGAAAAGAAACUAACAAGGAUUCCCCUAGUAGCGGCGAGCGAACCGGGAGAAGCCCAGCUUGAAAAUCGCGUCGCUUCGCGCGCGAGUUGUAGUCUGGAGAAGCGUCCUCUGCUGCGGACUUGGCCCAAGUCCCCUGGAAAGGGGCGUCAGAGAGGGUGAGAACCCCGUCGGGCCGAGACCCUGCAGCUCCACGAGGCGCUGUCGACGAGUCGGGCUGUUUGGGAAUGCAGCCCUAAGCGGGAGGUAAAUUCCUUCCAAGGCUAAAUACGGGCGGGAGACCGAUAGCGAACAAGUACCGCGAGGGAAAGAUGAAAAGGACUUUGAAAAGAGAGUUAAAAAGUGCUUGAAAUUGCUGGGAGGGAAGCGAAUGGAGGCCUCGUGUGCGCCCCGGUCGGAUGCGGAACGGCGUGAUUGCUGGUCCGGCCUCGACGCGGGGUGCUGGUCAGCGUGGGCUGUUGCGGCGGGAGAAAAGUCGGCCUUCAGUGGCCGGCCGAUGCCGUCGCGGCGGCCGAGGAAUCGAAGCGCGCGUCCCUCGGGACGGGACCUUCGGGGUCACCUGCGCGCUCGAGACGCUGGCGUAGUGGGCUU
rnacentral:rRNA from 1 species